GAUGUAGAACCUGGCGCGCUGUUCCUUGACAAGCCUAGCGCAUUUCCUAGAGAAGGAGCACCUCCGCUGCUGCUGCGAUGAAUUCUUCAUCAGAGGCGUUGUGGUGGUGGUGGAGGAGGAAGAAGCGACGACGGCGGCGGAGGAGGAGCGGGAGCUUCUGGAGGAGUAUUCCUUCUUGGAGAGCUUCCACUUGUCGUCGAGGUAGAAG
rnacentral:lncRNA from 1 species